CUUAGAGUAAUGUCUAAGUAUCAUUAAGUGAAUACAUAGCUUAAUGAGGGGAACUCAGGGAACUGAAACAUCUAAGUACCUGAAGGAAGAGAAAGAAAUUCGAUUCCGUAAGUAGCGGCGAGCGAACGCGGAUUAGCCCAAACCAAUAAAGUUUUCUUUAUUGGGGUUGCGGACAUAUCAUAACGAAGAGGUAUCGUAAUUGAAGAGGUUUGGAAAGACCCACCACAGAAGGUAAUAGUCCUGUAUGUUAAACGAGAAGACUUCAGAUAUGAUCCAGAGUACCACGGGACACGUGAAACCCUGUGGGAAGCAGGAGGGACCACCCUCCAAGGCUAAAUACUACCUAGUGACCGAUAGCGUAUAGUACCGUGAGGGAAAGGUGAAAAGAACCCCGGGAGGGGAGUGAAAUAGAACCUGAAACCCUGCACUUACAAGCUGUGGAAGCACAUUUCUUGUGUGACCGCGUACUUUUUGUAGAACGGGCCAACGAGUUACGUUAAGUAGCAAGGUUAAGCACUUAAGGUGCGGAGCCGUAGCGAAAGCGAGUUUUAACUGAGCGUUCAGUUACUUGACGUAGACCCGAAACCGGGCGACCUACCCAUGAGCAGGAUGAAGCGAAAGUAAAAUUUCGUGGAGGUCCGAACCCACGAGCGUUGAAAAGCUCGGGGAUGACUUGUGGGUAGCGGUGAAAUUCCAAUCGAGCCCGGAGAUAGCUGGUUCUCCCCGAAAUAGCUUUAGGGCUAGCCUCAAGGUGAGAGAUACGGAGGUAGAGCACUGAAUGUCCUAGGGGGUAUUGCACCUACCGAAGACUAUCAAACUCCGAAUGCCGUCAUCUUAUACUUGGGAGUCAGACUGUGGGUGAUAAGAUUCAUAGUCGAAAGGGCAACAGCCCAGAUCGUCAGCUAAGGUCCCUAAAUGUAAGUUAAGUGGUAAAGGAUGUGGGAUUGCACAGACAACCAGGAUGUUGGCUUAGAAGCAGCCACUCAUUCAAAGAGUGCGUAAUAGCUCACUGGUCGAGUGAUCCUGCGCCGAAGAUUUCCGGGGCUAAAACUUACUACCGAAGCUACGGCAUCAGUAAUGAUGGGUAGGGGAGCUUCCCAUACGGGUUGAAGCAUGACCGUAAGGACAUGUGGACAGUAUGGGAGUGAGAAUGUUGGCAUGAGUAGCGAGAUGUGGGUGAGAAUCCCACAGGCCGUAAACCCAAGGUUUCCAGGGGAAGGUUCGUCCGCCCUGGGUUAGUCGGGACCUAAGCUGAGGCCGAAAGGCGUAGGUGAUGGACAACAGGUUGAUAUUCCUGUACUACCGAUAACCGUUUGAGAGAAGGGAUGACACAGUAGGAUAAGCUAAGCACACUGUUGGUUAUGUGUGCCCAAGCAUUGAGGCAGUCAAAGUAGGCAAAUCCGCUUUGAUAAUGCUGGGAUGUGAUGGGGAGCGAAAUUUAGUAGCGAAGUAGCUGAUUUCACACUGUCAAGAAAAGUCUCUAUCGAGGUUAAAGGUACCCGUACCGCAAACCGACACAGGUGGGUGAGGAGAGUAUCCUAAGGCCAGCGAGAGAACUGUUGUUAAGGAACUCGGCAAAAUGACCCCGUAACUUAGGGAUAAGGGGUGCCACCAUCAGGUGGCCGCAGAGAAUAGGCCCAAGCGACUGUUUACCAAAAACAUAGGUUUCUGCUAAGUCGCAAGACGAUGUAUAGGAGCUGACGCCUGCCCGGUGCUGGAAGGUUAAGGGGAUCUGUUAGAGCAAUCGAAGCAGUGAACUUAAGCCCCAGUAAACGGCGGCCGUAACUAUAACGGUCCUAAGGUAGCGAAAUUCCUUGUCGGGUAAGUUCCGACCCGCACGAAAGGCGUAACGAUUUGGGCACUGUCUCAACAACAGACUCGGUGAAAUUGUAAUUCCGGUGAAGAUGCCGGAUACCUGCGACAGGACGGAAAGACCCCAUGGAGCUUUACUGUAGCUUGACAUUGGGUCUUGGUACUACAUGUACAGGAUAGGUGGGAGGCUUUGAAACCAGGACGCCAGUUUUGGCGGAGCCAUCCUUGGGAUACCACCCUUGUAGUACUGGGACUCUAACCAUAGGCCAUGAAUCUGGUCUUGGGACACUGUCAGGUGGGCAGUUUGACUGGGGCGGUCGCCUCCCAAAAGGUAACGGAGGCGCUCAAAGGUUCUCUCAGUACGGUCGGAAAUCGUACGUAGAGUGUAAAGGCAAAAGAGAGCUUGAUUGCAAGACAUACAGGUCGAGCAAGGAUGAAAAUCGGACUUAGUGAUCCGGUGGUUCUGCGUGGAAGGGCCAUCGCUCAACGGAUAAAAGCUACCCUGGGGAUAACAGGCUUAUCUCCCCCAAGAGUCCACAUCGACGGGGAGGUUUGGCACCUCGAUGUCGGCUCAUCACAUCCUGGGGCUGUAGUAGGUCCCAAGGGUUGGGCUGUUCGCCCAUUAAAGUGGUACGCGAGCUGGGUUCAGAACGUCGUGAGACAGUUCGGUCCCUAUCCGUCGCAGGCGUAGGAAAUUUGAGAAGACCUGUCCUUAGUACGAGAGGACCGGGAUGGACGUACCUCUGGUGUACCAGUUGUCUGCCAAGGGCAUGGCUGGGUAGCUAUGUACGGAAUGGAUAAGCGCUGAAAGCAUCUAAGCGCGAAGCCAACUUCAAGAUAAGAUUUCCCACCGCAAGGGUAAGACCCCAGAAAGACUAUCUGGUUGAUAGGUCGAAGGUGUAAGUGCAGCAAUGUAUUUAGCUUAUCGAUACUAAUAGGUCGAGGACUUGACCAA
rnacentral:rRNA from 1 species